GAUGAACGCUGGCGGCGUGCCUAACACAUGCAAGUCGAACGGAGAUUAGACGCUGCAGAGACUUCGGUCAAAGCUUGUUUAAUCUUAGUGGCGGACGGGUGAGUAACGCGUGGGCAACCUGCCUCAUACUGGGGGAUAGCAGUUGGAAACGACUGAUAAUACCGCAUAAGCGCACGAGAUCGCAUGAUCCUGUGUGAAAAACUCCGGUGGUAUGAGAUGGGCCCGCGUCAGAUUAGCUAGUUGGUAAGGUAACGGCUUACCAAGGCGACGAUCUGUAGCCGGACUGAGAGGUCGGACGGCCACAUUGGGACUGAGACACGGCCCAAACUCCUACGGGAGGCAGCAGUGGGGGAUAUUGCACAAUGGAGGAAACUCUGAUGCAGCGACGCCGCGUGAGUGAAGAAGUAUUUCGGUAUGUAAAGCUCUAUCAGCAGGGAAGAAAGACUCUUUAGGAGUGAUGACGUAC
rnacentral:rRNA from 1 species